rnacentral:rRNA from 1 species
GACGAACGCUGGCGGCGUGCUUAACACAUGCAAGUCGAACGGUAAGGCCCCAGCUUGCUGGGGCACACGAGUGGCGAACGGGUGAGUAACACGCGGGUGACCUGCCCCUCACUUCGGGAUAAGACUGGGAAACUGGGUCUCAUACAGGAUACGAUCGCACCGACAGGGUGGGGCGGUAAGUUUUUCGGGGUUGGCUGGGCCCGCGGGCUAUCAGCUUGCUGGAGGGGCAAUGGCGUACGAAGGCGGCGAAGGGUAGCCGGCAUGCGAAGGUGGACGGCCACAUGGGGACUGAGGGACGGCGCAGACGCCUACGGGAGGCAGCAGGGGGGAAUAUUGCGCAGUGGGCGGAAGCCUGAUGCAGCGACGCCGGGUGGGGGAUGACGGCCUUCGGGUUGUAAACUCCUGUCACCGUCGACGAAGGUGUUCUGACGGUAGAUGAAGAAGAAGCACCGGCUAACUACGUG